rnacentral:rRNA from 1 species
UGGGGGAUAUUGCACAAUGGGCGAAAGCCUGAUGCAGCGACGCCGCGUGGGGGAUGAAGGCCUUCGGGUUGUAAACUUCUUUUGCUCUGAACAAGGCAUGCUAAUGGGUGUGUUGAGUGUAGGGGUUGAUUAGCGCCGGCUAACUACGUGCCAGCAGCCGCGGUAAUACGUAGGGCGCGAGCGUUGUCCGGAAUUAUUGGGCGUAAAGGGCUUGUAGGUGGCUGGUUGCGUCUGUCGUGAAAGCUCAUGGCUUAACUGUGGGUUUGCGGUGGGUACGGGCUGGUUUGAGUGCAGUAGGGGAGGCUGGAAUUCCUGGUGUAGCGGAGGAAUGCGCAGAUAUCAGGAGGAAUACCGGUGGCGAAGGCGGGUCUCUGGGCUGUUACUGACACUGAGGAGCGAAAGCAUGGGGUGCGAACAGG